GUGCUUGCUUCGACAGCACAUAUACUAAAAUAGGAACAAUACAGAGAAGAUUAGCAUGGCCCCUGUGCAAGGAUGACAUGCAAAUUUGUGAAGUAUUCCAUAUUUUU